UGCGUAGGCGGAAUAUUAAGUCAGUGGUGAAAUCCUGCGGCUCAACCGUAGAACUGCCAUUGAUACUGAUAUUCUUGAAUGUAGUUGAGGUAGGCGGAAUGUGUAAUGUAGCGGUGAAAUGCUUAGAUAUUACACAGAACACCGAUUGCGAAGGCAGCUUACUAAGCUAUGAUUGACGCUGAGGCACGAAAGCGUGGGGAGCGAACAGGAUUAGAUACCCUGGUAGUCC
rnacentral:rRNA from 1 species